GAUAACAGAAGAGAAACUGAUGACUCUGAGGAGCAGACAGAUGAUCAUGUGACUUAUUCUGAGGUCACUGCAUACAGUAAAAACCAAGACAAAAAGAACAAGGUUCGCUGUGAUGAUAAAGUGACUUAUGCUUCCAUCAGAGGAGCAAAAGCUGGAUCUCAGGAAAACUGCAGUGAACUUUAUGCCUCUGUGAACUAGAACCAUCACAAAUCAGUCAAAUAAUUAAGAAUAUGAAUAUUACAUAACUUACUCCUUAUGGUUUCAUUCAGUGCCAUUAUAAAUACUUUCAAUGUCUUUUACAUGUUAACAAACAAACCCAAGUGAUGCUCUGAUUUAUUUGUAGUUAUUGGUUAUUUUUCUCAGUUCAGCAUGUUUUUUGUAUAGUCUGUUUGUUGAUCAGUUAAUGCUAGUGUCUUUAUUAUUAAUUCAGAGUUGCAGGUUUGUACAAAGUCUAGAAAAUGAGGACAGUUUUACUCUCUUAGAUCAUUCUCAUUAAAUCAUCUAUUUUAUUGAGCGGUUAAUUAACUGUCAUCUUGCACUAAUUAUGAAA